GGGUCAGUAGGUUGGUCGUGCCACCGGUACGUACUGGUCUCACUGAUUCCUCCUUCCUGAAGAACCGUAAUGCCAUUAAUUUGGUGUUGCGGGGAAACAGGACUGUUACUUUGAAAGAAUUAGAGUGUUUAAGGCAAGCUAACGCUUGAAUACAUUAGCAUGGAAUAAUGAAAUAGGACGAUCGAUCCUAUUUUGUUGGUUUCUAGGAUUGACGUA
rnacentral:rRNA from 1 species